CCCUAAUUUUUUUUUUUUAUUUUUCUCUUUCCCUCUCCUCCUUUUUCUUUUCUUUUUUCUUUCUUUUCUCUUUUUCUCUCACUUCCUCUAUAAACUCUUGGCCUCCCCUCUCUUUUCUCUCUCCCCAAUUCUUUUUUCUGAAUCUCAAACCUUCUCAUUUUCUUUUCUCUCAAGCUCUCAAUCUUCCAAUCUCUCCCUCAACCUUCGGCUUCCAACCCACCCCACCUUCGUCCAUCUCACUCCGGUAAACCCCAAGGAGAUCCCCAAGGCUGCAGCCGUCCUCGAUAGAAACCAGAGAAGAACUCUUGGCCAAGGGCCGAGUUCAUUCACCUUUCUCUCUAUUUCCUCUCAUAUUCUUCUAUACUUCUCUUCUCCGGCCGAUUUAGGCCAAGGAGAAGUCGAUUCAUCACCGACGACUCUCUGAAAUUUUCAGCGAGCUUCCGGUGAAGCUCGGGUCAUCUAUUCCAGCCACGGUUAGGCCGAAAUUUUGUGGAUUCAUCCCAAAAAUCUCUCUCUCUCCGUUUCCUCUACUCAUUUCCAAACCAGUGUUCCCUUACAGGUUGCACAAUUCAAGUUUGGGGGCCUGUUUUUGUUGGACUUCACAUGGGAGCUUUUUGUCACCUCGCCAUGCACUGUCCUCCUUUUCUUGGUAUUUUUGUUCUUGUUAUUCUCUUUAAUUUUCAAUAGAUGUUAGUUGUUGUCCCACAUUGAGGACAAUGUGUUAUUCAAGUUUGGGGGUGCAAUAUUGCAUUUUUGGUAGUACAUUUUUGUAAAGCAAUGAUAGUGUAAUUUGAAACUUGUCAGAGAUGAAGCUCAUGUUUAAUACCUUGUGUAUGAAAGCAAUUGUUGAGUUUUGAAAAUAAAGAAAAUUUGAAAAGAUCAUGUGGAUGCAAUUUAGUCUGUAUAAAUGUUUCAAUUAGAUUUUCGUUGGAUUUUAUACUCUUUUAUGCUUCACAAUGCACAGAUGCACACCGGAAACUUAAUUGCGAGGCAUGCAACUUGAUUAACCUUGAUCUUGAACCUAAUAGAUGGAUACCUUUGGCAUGAUGAAAAAAAAAAAAAAAAAAAAAAAAAAAAAAAAAAUAGAAGAAAGAAAGAUAAUGACCAGUUUGAGUUUGUAGCCUUUCCAACUUGAGUUAUUAAGCCCAAGGAGUGUCUCUACACUUAGCACCCUAAAGCCAUCUGGUUUGCGAGUUGUUAGCCUAACGCUUGCUAUAUGGGUUGGUUAGAAAGCUUAAAAGACUUAGGCACUGCACGGUUAUUUAAAAAAUAUAAUAAACAUGGUCUGUUAGAAUUCGUAGCCUUGCCAAUUUGAGCUAUUAAGCCCUAGGAGUGUUUCUACACUCAACACUCUAAAGCCAUCUAGUUUGGGAGUUGUUGGCCUAACGCUUGCUACAUGGGUUGGUUAGAAAGCUUAAGGGAGUUCAGCAUUGCACAACCAUAAUAUGCAUCAUUUUGAGUUUUAAUAAAUUUUCAACAAGCAACAAAAGUUGUAUUGUAAAUAAAUUCAUGCCUUAGUGACUUCAUUUAAAAGGGAAUUCGAUGAUGUGAAGACUUGUGUCUUAAAAUUGGAAAGAAAAGGUUAAAGCCACGUGUUGGGAAAUCCGGUUCACUUUCACUGAAGUUAGAGUUGAUUUCUAUUCAAGAGAUAGCAAUUGAGUUAUUUAUAUAGACUAUGAUGCUGUUGCAUGGAUGUUUAAGCAUGUUUAAUCAUUUAUUUUUGUACCAAGGCUUCAUAUAUGCAAGGUAGUCUGCCUAAUGAUCCCAUCUCCAGUCUUCUGUCUGUCUCAAGUUAUAUUUGAGCUAUGCAUGUUUUCCAUUUCACCAUGGUUGAUAUUUUUGGGAAGCAAUCCAAUGGUUGUCAUUUGUUGAGUUUGUCAUUUUGGUUUUGCUAUGGGACUAGCAAAAUGUAAAUUUGGGGGUGUAAUAAGCGCCGAAUAUUGCAUAUUCAAGCGCCCUUACUUGCAUUAGUUAAGUCCAUUUUUGGUUUAUAUGUAUAUAUUUUCUCCAGUUCUUUGUUUCUGUGCAUUUUUUCAGGUUUCUUUACAAAAAGGGAAUAAUGGAAGCUCAAAAGGCUUGUUGAAGAGCAAAUCAUUUCGGGCUUUUGCAUCCGGAAAUCUCCAAGAGGAAUUUGCUAAAACAAGUCUACGAAGUCCUUCUACAAUGAAAAAAGGGUGAAUAAUUCUCAAUAGGCCAAGGAUAAAUCCAUGUAGAAGAAUUCAAAGCAGAAGAAGAAGAAAAUGCAUUCUGAUGCAUUUUCGAGCGCUCAGAAAACCUUCGAGCGCUCGAAAUCAGGACAGAGUGGUCUACCGCAAUCUUCGAGCAGACCCACUUGUGCCUUGAUUCCCUCAACUUCGGAUUUCCCUCUUUUAUGAGUUGGUUGGAGAUGUCUUUUGGUGGGGGUGGAGCCUUAUUUUGAGGAGGUUUGGUAGACAUAUUGUCUACAAAAGGGAAGGGGAACCAUAUAUAUCAAGGUUCACAUAUAUUUUGCAAGAUUUUCUAGAGAAGAAAAAGGAGGAGAAGAUAGAGUUUUGUGGCUAGAAGGGGAGCUUAAAAAUGGCAGUGGCAUCCAAGCUUCUUCCUUCCUCUAGUCCAUCCAUGGGUAACUAAUUCUCCAUCUAGGGAGGUGAUGAAGCCCUCCCUUGUAAGCAUGUUCUAGUGUAGAUUUUAUUUUGGGAUAACAAUGUAUAAUCUUUGGUCAUUUCAUGAUUUAGAGCCUCAUACUUGUUGUAAUGGAUUAUAGUGUCUAUAAAUGAUCAUUUUGAGUUUA